ACCUACAGCCACACCACCUGGAAAGUGCCAGAUCUUGUCUGAUUUCGGAAGUUAAAUGGGGCCAGGCCCGUUAGUACCUAGAUGGGAGACUGCCUGGGAAUACAAGGGGGGUUAUUU
rnacentral:rRNA from 1 species